rnacentral:rRNA from 1 species
UACGUAGGGUCCGAGCGUUGUCCGGAAUUACUGGGCGUAAAGGGCGUGUAGGCGGCCAACUAAGUCCGACGUGAAAUCCCCAGGCUUAACCUGGGAACUGCGUCGGAUACUGGAUGGCUUGAAUCCGGGAGAGGGAUGCGGAAUUCCAGGUGUAGCGGUGAAAUGCGUAGAUAUCUGGAGGAACACCGGUGGCGAAGGCGGCAUCCUGGACCGGCAUGGACGCUAAAGCGCGAAAGCCAGGGGAGCAAACGGG